GAGAAUUCUUCUUAAAAGGGUGGGGGUGUUGCAAAGGCCCAUGGAGUGUGUUGACACAAUAUAAUUUCUGCCCAGUGCUCUCAAUGCCAAAGUGAAGAAAUUCAAUGAAGUGCAGGUAAAGGAAUAACUAUGACUCUCUUAAGUAGUUGAAUGCCUUGUCAUCUAAUUAGUGAUGUGCAUGAAUUAAUGAAGUGGAGAUUCUC
rnacentral:ncRNA from 1 species